rnacentral:rRNA from 1 species
GAGUAAUGCGUGACCAACCUGCCCCAUGCUCCAGAAUAGCUCUUGGAAACGGGUGGCAAUGCUGGAUGCUCCAACUUGACGCAUGUCUUGUUGGGAAAGUGUUUAGUGGCAUGGGAUGGGGUCGCGUCCUAUCAGCUUGUAGGCGGGGUAAUGGCCCACCUAGGCUUCGACGGGUAGCCGGCCUGAGAGGGCGGACGGCCACAUUGGGACUGAGAUACGGCCCAGACUCCUACGGGAGGCAGCAGCC